GAUGAACGCUGGCGGCGUGCCUAAUACAUGCAAGUCGAGCGAACAGACGAGGAGCUUGCUCCUCUGACGUUAGCGGCGGACGGGUGAGUAACACGUGGAUAACCUACCUAUAAGACUGGGAUAACUUCGGGAAACCGGAGCUAAUACCGGAUAAUAUAUUGAACCGCAUGGUUCAAUAGUGAAAGACGGUCUUGCUGUCACUUAUAGAUGGAUCCGCGCCGCAUUAGCUAGUUGGUAAGGUAACGGCUUACCAAGGCAACGAUGCGUAGCCGACCUGAGAGGGUGAUCGGCCACACUGGAACUGAGACACGGUCCAGACUCCUACGGGAGGCAGCAGUAGGGAAUCUUCCGCAAUGGGCGAAAGCCUGACGGAGCAACGCCGCGUGAGUGAUGAAGGUCUUCGGAUCGUAAAACUCUGUUAUUAGGGAAGAACAAAUGUGUAAGUAACUGUGCACGUCUUGACGGUACCUAAUCAGAAAGCCACGGCUAACUACGUG
rnacentral:rRNA from 1 species